CGCCUGGGGAGUGCGGCCGCAAGGUUAAAACUCAAAUGAAUUGACGGGGGCCCGCACAAGCGGUGGAGCAUGUGGUUUAGUUCGACGCAACGCGAAGAACCUUACCUGGCCUUGACAUCCAGAGAACUUUCCAGAGAUGGAUUGGUGCCUUCGGGAACUCUGAGACAGGUGCUGCAUGGCCGUCGUCAGCUCGUGUCGUGAGAUGUUGGGUUAAGUCCCGUAACGAGCGCAACCCCUAUCCCUGGUUGCUAGCAGGUAAUGCUGAGAACUCCAGGGAGACUGCCGGUGACAAACCGGAGGAAGGUGGGGAUGACGUCAGGUCAUCAUGGCCCUUACGGCCAGGGCUACACACGUGCUACAAUGGCGCGUACAGAGGGCUGCCAACUCGCGAGAGUGAGCCAAUCCCUUAAAACGCGUCGUAGUCCGGAUCGGAGUCUGCAACUCGACUCCGUGAAGUCGGAAUCGCUAGUAAUCGCGAAUCAGAAUGUCGCGGUGGAUACGUUCCCGGGCCUUGUACACACCGCCCGUCACACCAUGGAGUGGAUUGCACCAGAAGUAGUUAGUCUAACCUUCGGGAGGACGAUUACCACGGUGUGGUUCAUGACUGGGGUGAAGUCGUAACAAGGUAACCGUA
rnacentral:rRNA from 1 species